UACGGAGGGUGCAAGCGUUAAUCGGAAUUACUGGGCGUAAAGCGCACGCAGGCGGUCUGUCAAGUCGGAUGUGAAAUCCCCGGGCUCAACCUGGGAACUGCAUCCGAAACUGGCAGGCUAGAGUCUUGUAGAGGGGGGUAGAAUUCCAGGUGUAGCGGUGAAAUGCGUAGAGAUCUGGAGGAAUACCGGUGGCGAAGGCGGCCCCCUGGACAAAGACUGACGCUCAGGUGCGAAAGCGUGGGGAGCAAACGGGAUUAGAUACCCUGGUAGUCCACGCCGUAAACGAUGUCGACUUGGGGGUUGUGCCCUUGGGGCGUGGCUGCCGGAGCUAACGCGUUAAGUCGACCGCCUGGGGAGUACGGCCGCAAGGUUGAA
rnacentral:rRNA from 1 species